rnacentral:rRNA from 1 species
AGGACGAACGCUGGCGGCGUGCUUAACACAUGCAAGUCGAGCGGAAAGGCCCUUCGGGGUACUCGAGCGGCGAACGGGUGAGUAACACGUGAGUAACCUGGCCUCAGCUUUGGGAUAACCCUCGGAAACGGGGGCUAAUACCGGAUAUUUACUCCUGUCGCAUGGUGGGGGGUGGAAAGUUUUUCGGGCUGGGGAUGGGCUCGCGGCCUAUCAGCUUGUUGGUGGGGUGAUGGCCUACCAAGGCGACGACGGGUAG